rnacentral:sRNA from 1 species
AAAAAUAAGAAUACGGAAGCAGUGGCGGAUCUAGAACAUAUUUUUGAAUAGAACACAAAAUCAGUAGUUAACUAAAAAAAGGGGUGAACGACCUGUGUCUCCCUAACAAGUUUCAUAUACGACCAUAUCUACACAGAUUUCGGACCUCGUUUCCAGUCCACAUGAAACGAAAGUUAAACUCCAGGUUCCCCCUAAAACGAAAGUUAAAGACCUCAGUCCCCAUAUUUUCUAAUUUCGUGGUUUAUCAUUGGUUUAUUGUACCGAUCUGAUGCAAAAUCAGAAACCCAGUCGAUUAAACCGAAUGUAUAUCCGAUUCGAGUCAUUGACAAUCCGAAAUACCCAAAUAAAUACGAAUGAGAAAAAUCCCCAAAUUGAAAAAUCUUAGAACCGUAGUUUCGAUUUCAUCUCUUCAACGUCUGUUUUCUUCAAUCUUCAACAUAAGUCAGAGCUCUAAUAUGAAUACGAUUGACAAACAUAGCAAAAAAAUCAUGAUGACC